rnacentral:rRNA from 1 species
GGAUUAGACACCCUGGUAGUCCACGCCGUAAACGAUGGAUACUAGCUGUAUGUCUACCUCAGGUAGAUGUGUGGCCAAGCGAAAGUGAUAAGUAUCCCACCUGGGGAGUACGAUCGCAAGAUUGAAACUCAAAGGAAUUGACGGGGGCCCGCACAAGCGGUGGAGCAUGUGGUUUAAUUCGAUGAUACGCGAGGAACCUUACCAGGGCUUAAAUAUAACGGGACAGGUCUAGAGAUAGACCCUUCUUCGGACUCAUUACAAGGUGCUGCAUGGUUGUCGUCAGCUCUGCUGCU